ACGUCCCUCAGCGCCCCCGCGUGCGUCCCCACGUCACUCAGGGGCCCUGCGUGCGUCCGCUCAGUGGCCGGGUGUAUGUCCCCUCAGCGGUCCAGCAUGUAGGUUGUGUGGUGUUGCUUUUCGAGGUGGUUUGUGAUGCUUGGUUUUCCUGCAAGAGUGGAAGGAAGAAACGUUGAGGUGCGCUCCCCUCCCUCCACAGGGUUUCUUCCUGGACAGCGCCCCGUCUUGCCCUCACGGAGGACCCUGCAGGUUACCUGGGCCCCACCAGGUCAUCAGGAGCAUCUCCCAUCUCAAGAUUCAUCACCGAGUUCCCUAUGCAGAGUCCCUGGUGCGGUGUAAGCAAGCAAUCCACAGGUUCCAGCGGGUGGGGUGUGGAUAUCAGGCAUGCGUGUUCUUCCAAGCUUGCAAAAGUUACACAAAUGUAUGCCAUGAGGGUUAGAGGUGAGGACAUAACUCCAAAGCAGACUCCAGGUCUUCCCAGGCCACACAUUCUCUUCCCAUCAUUAAUUGGAAUUGGAAUUCGUUUUUGUGCCAUAGCGUAUGUUUCAAAGUCACGUUCAGGUGAAUCAUUAAAUGCUACCAACCAUAGACAAUAAAAUAAUAAAAUCUAAAAGUUCAUACAGAGUGAGGAAUACUUAGUUGGGAAAGGCAAAAUAAAUGCAUCAGUCUGUACAGAACCACAAAGAAUAAAUGGGAGGAAGGCAGGACCUUGAAGAGGCCACAGGGACCUCAAGGAAGGAGAAAACCAGAACGUUAAACACGAGGAAAGCCCAGGGGUCACAGGAGCGUUAGGCACCAUACGGAGCAGGCUGUGUUCAUGACAUAAAAGGAGGGACACACAGCAUAAAUUUCACAUUCUAAAAUAAUAUGAAAAGACCAUAACUGAAGAGCUGAAGUUGAACUUUGUGGUUUCUCAGAACACAAGUAGAUGAUGACCACCAACCAUGGUUUCUAAAUGAACUGGGUUCAAAAUGUAUCUGGUGGCAACAGAGGGCUUCUUUGGACCCUGGCAUUAGAAGCAUAACAAGGUAAUUUGAGGAGCUGCUAUUUCACAAGGUGGUGGCAUCCCGGGGAGCUUCUAUUCCAUGAGUCAAGUUCAAUAUCUCACCAUACAGCUCCUAAAGCCUUGGAAUCUGUGGAGUGACAACAUCUUUUGUGUGCUAAUGAGAUGACUGGGGGCUGGGGACGCCUGGACAGCCUCAGGAUGGAGCAGGUCACCAGAGGAACCAGCCAUGUGCAUAGAGGGUUGGAACUUGUGGUCCCAUCCCCAACCUCUAGGGAGGGGAGAAGGCUGAAGGUCAAGUUGAUCACCAGUGGACAGUGAUUUAACAAAUCAUGCCUACAUGAUAGCCUCCAUAAAAUCCCAAAAGGACAGAGUUCAGAGAGCU
rnacentral:lncRNA from 10 species